rnacentral:rRNA from 1 species
UACGGGGGGGGCAAGCGUUGUUCGGAAUUACUGGGCGUAAAGGGCUCGUAGGCGGCCAACUAAGUCGGAUGUGAAAUCCCCGGGCUCAACCCGGGAACUGCGUCCGAUACUGGAAGGCUUGAAUCCGGGAGAGGGAUGCGGAAUUCCAGGUGUAGCGGUGAAAUGCGUAGAUAUCUGGAGGAACACCGGUGGCGAAGGCGGCAUCCUGGACCGGCAUUGACGCUGAGGCGCGAAAGCCAGGGGAGCAAACGGG